rnacentral:tRNA from 1 species
GAGUUGUAGCUCAGUGGUAGAGCACUUGCCUAGUGCACAUGAGGCCUUGGGUUCAAUCCCCAGCAUCCA